CCACCCUGAAUGUGCCUGAUAUUUUCUUAGCUUAGAAGCUAAGCAGGGCUGGGCAUUUCAAGUACUUGGUAUUUGAAAGGGAGAAUGU
ensembl:rRNA Gm54731 nuclear encoded rRNA 5S 6